rnacentral:rRNA from 1 species
CGAUUCUGGCUCAGGAUGAACGCUAGCUACAGGCUUAACACAUGCAAGUCGAGGGGCAGCAUUGGAGUAGCAAUACUCAGAUGGCGACCGGCGCACGGGUGAGUAACACGUAUCCAACCUGCCGCUUACUCGGGGAUAGCCUUUCGAAAGAAAGAUUAAUACCCGAUGGUAUAAAGAGUUCGCAUGUUCUCUUUAUUAAAGAAUUUCGGUAAGCGAUGGGGAUGCGUUCCAUUAGAUAGUUGGCGGGGUAACGGCCCACCAAGUCUACGAUGGAUAGGGGUUCUGAGAGGAAGGUCCCCCACAUUGGAACUGAGACACGGUCCAAACUCCUACGGGAGGCAGCAGUGAGGAAUAUUGGUCAAUGGACGAGAGUCUGAACCAGCCAAAGUAGCGUGAAGGAUGACUGCCCUAUGGGUUGUAAACUUCUUUUAUAAGGGAAUAAAGUGAGGGACGUGUCCCUUUUUGUAUGUACCUUAUGAAUAAGGAUCGGCUAACUCCGUGCCAGCCGCCGC